CGGGUCAUUCCCAGCCGGGUUUGGGGACAAUUCCCAGCCCUGUUUGGGGUCAUUUCCUUGCCCGCUUCUGUUUCUUUUCCAGCCGGGUUUGGGGUCAUUUCCCAUCCUGGUUCUGUUCCUUUCCCAGCCCAGUUUUAUUCCUUUCCCAGCCGGGUUUGGGAUGAUUUCUCUGCCUGAUUCUGUUCCUUUCCCAGCCCUGUUUGGGAUCAUUUCUCAGCCCAGUUUGGUUCCUUUUCCAUCCAGGUUUGGGAUCAUUUCUCUGCCCUGUUUGGGGUCAUUUGCCAGGCAGGUUUGGGAUCCUUUCUCUGCGUGGUUCUGUUCCUUUCCCAGCCCAGUUUUGUUCCUUUCCCAGCUGGGUUUGGGAUCAUUUCCCAGCCCAGUUCUGUUCCUUUCCCAGCCCAGUUUGGUUCCUUUCCCAGCCAGGUUUGGGGUCAUUUCCCAUCCUGGUUCUAUUUCUUUUCCAUCCAGGUUUGGGAUCCUUUUCCUGCCGGGUUCUGUUCCUUUCCCAGCCCUGUUUAGGUUCCUUUCCUUCCUCGCUUUAUUUCUUUCCCAGCCCAGUUUGGGAUCCUUUCCUCACCCGGUUCUGUUCCUUUUCCAUCCAGCUUUGGGAUCCUUUCCCAGCCCCAUUUAGGUUCUUUUCCCUCCUUGGUUCUGUUCCUUUCCCAGCUGGGUUUGGGGUCAUUUCCCAGCCCAGUUUGGAUUCCUUUCCUUGCCUGGUUCUGUUCCUUUCCCAGCCCAGUUUUGUUCCUUUCCCAGCCGGGUUUGGGAUCCUUUUCCUGCCUGUGUCUGCUUGUUUUCCAUCCAGGUUUGGGAUCAUUUCUCUGCCCUGUUUGAGUUCCUUUCUCUGCCCGGUUCUGUUCAUUUCCCAGCCAGUUUGGGGUCAUUUCCCGGCCGGGUUCUGUUCCUUUUCCAGCCGGUUUUGGGAUCAUUUCCCUGCCCUGUUUGGAUUCCUUUCCUUCCUCGGUUCUGUUCCUUUCCCAGCUGGGUUUGGGAUCAUUUCCCUGCCGGGUUUGGGAUCAUUUCCCAUCCUGGUUCUGUUCCUUUCCCAGCCAGGUUUGGGAUCCUUUCCCAGCCCAGUUUGGGAUCCUUUCCUCACCCGGUUCUGUUCCAUUCCCAGCCGGUUUCGGGGUCGUUCCCCAGCUUUGGUUUCCCAUCAGAGUUUCAG
rnacentral:lncRNA from 1 species